UGGAGUAUCCAUGGCUGAAUACAUAGGCCAUGUGAAGCGAACGCGGUGAACUGAAACAUCUAAGUAACCGCAGGAAAAGAAAUCAACCGAGAUUCCCAAAGUAGUGGCGAGCGAAAUGGGAUGAGCCUUGCACUCUUUAUUUGUAUUGUUAGCCGAACGCUCUGGAAAGUGCGGCCAUAGCAGGUGAUAGCCCUGUAGGCGAAAACAGUAUGAAAGAACUAGGUGUGCGACAAGUAGGGCGGGACACGUGAAAUCCUGUCUGAAGAUGGGGGGACCAUCCUCCAAGGCUAAAUACUCGUGAUCGACCGAUAGUGAACCAGUACCGUGAGGGAAAGGCGAAAAGAACCCCGGGAGGGGAGUGAAAUAGAUCCUGAAACCGCAUGCAUACAAACAGUCGGAGCCUCGUAAGGGGUGACGGCGUACCUUUUGUAUAAUGGGUCAGCGACUUACGUUCAGUAGCAAGCUUAACCGUAUAGGGCAGGCGUAGCGAAAGCGAGUCCGAAUAGGGCGUUCAGUUGCUGGGCGUAGACCCGAAACCAGGUGAUCUAUCCAUGGCCAGGAUGAAGGUGCGGUAACACGUACUGGAGGUCCGAACCCACUAACGUUGAAAAGUUAGGGGAUGAGCUGUGGAUAGGGGUGAAAGGCUAAACAAACCUGGAAAUAGCUGGUUCUCUCCGAAAACUAUUUAGGUAGUGCCUCGUGUCUCACCUUCGGGGGUAGAGCACUGUCAUGGUUGGGGGGUCUAUUGCAGAUUACCCCGCCAUAGCAAACUCCGAAUACCGAAGAGUGCAAUCACGGGAGACAGACAUCGGGUGCUAACGUCCGGUGUCAAGAGGGAAACAACCCAGACCGCCAGCUAAGGUCCCCAAAUAUAGCUAAGUGGGAAACGAAGUGGGAAGGCUAAAACAGUCAGGAGGUUGGCUUAGAAGCAGCCACCCUUUAAAGAAAGCGUAAUAGCUCACUGAUCGAGUCGUCCUGCGCGGAAGAUGUAACGGGGCUAAGCUAUAUACCGAAGCUGCGGAUGCGAGCUUUGCUCGCAUGGUAGGAGAGCGUUCCGUAAGCCUGCGAAGGUGCCUUGUAAAGGGUGCUGGAGGUAUCGGAAGUGCGAAUGCUGACAUGAGUAGCGAUAAAGGGGGUGAAAGGCCCCCUCGCCGUAAGCCCAAGGUUUCCUACGCAACGUUCAUCGGCGUAGGGUGAGUCGGCCCCUAAGGCGAGGCAGAAAUGCGUAGCUGAUGGGAAGCAGGUCAAUAUUCCUGCACCAUUGUUAGAUGCGAUGGGGGGACGGAUCGCGGAAGGUUGUCCGGGUGUUGGA
rnacentral:rRNA from 1 species